rnacentral:rRNA from 1 species
CCCUUAGAUGUUCUGGGCCGCACGCGCGCUACAAUGGCAAACUCAGCGAGUCUCCUUUACCGACAGGUAUAGGAAAUCUUUUCAGUGUUUGCCGUGAUGGGGCUAGACCCUUGUAAUUAUUGGUCUCCAACGAGGAAUUCCUAGUAAACGCAGGUCAUUAACCUGCAUUGAUUACGUCCCUGCCCUUUGUACACACCGCCCGUCGCACCUACCGAUUGAAUGGUUCGGUGAAGUCUCCGGACUGAGUACUUUUAGUACUUGGGAAGUUGACUAAACCUUACUAUUUAGAGGAAGGUGAAGUCGUAACA